rnacentral:rRNA from 1 species
AACGCUGGCGGCGUGCUUAACACAUGCAAGUCGAACGGUGAUGGCCAGCUUGCUGGUCUGAUCAGUGGCGAACGGGUGAGUAACACGUGAGCAACCUACCCCAGACUCUGGAAUAACCAUGGGAAACGAUGGCUAAUACCGGAUACGAGACACACGCUGGGAUGGGCUCGCGGCCUAUCAGCUUGUUGGUGGGGUAGUGGCCUACCAAGGCGACGACGGGUAGCCGGCCUGAGAGGGCGACCGGCCACACUGGGACUGAGAUACGGCCCAGACUCCUACGGGAGGCAGCAGUGGGGAAUAUUGCACAAUGGGCGCAAGCCUGAUGCAGCGACGCCGCGUGAGGGAUGACGGCCUUCGGGUUGUAAACCUCUUUCAGCAGGGAAGAAGCGAAAGUGACGGUACCUGCAGAAGAAGCGCCGGCUAACUACGUGCCAGCAGCCGCGGUAAUACGUAGGGCGCAAGCGUUGUCCGGAAUUAUUGGGCGUAAAGAGCUCGUAGGCGGUUUGUCGCGUCUGCUGUGAAAACCUAAGGCUCAACCUUGGGCUUGCAGUGGGUACNGGCAGACUAAAGUGCGGUAGGGGUGACUGGAAUUCCUGGUGUA